UCAGGCAAGCUCAAAAGCAAUGCCUAAGGAACGUCCAGCAACUCCACCGAAAAGCACUGGCGGUUUGAAACAAAGAGUUGGCCGAUUGUUCAGCCGAAUAUUUAGAAGGAAAAAAAACACUAUCUCAGAUAGCGAAACUGGACAGGAAGAGGAUGUUUCGCCAAGGGUAUACUACGAGACGCUCUAUGCUCCGCGACAGCUUCUAUGGGAUCGCAAAACAGAUGACUUGAAUG